rnacentral:rRNA from 1 species
GAUGAACGCUGGCGGCGCGCCUAACACAUGCAAGUCGAACGGCACCCCUCCUCGGAGGGAAGCGCGUGGCGAACGGCUGAGUAACACGUGGGGAACCUGCCCCCUCCCCCGUGAUAGCCGCCCGAAAGGACGGGGAAUACCCGAUACCCCGGGGUGCCGCAUGGCACCCCGGCUAAAGCCCCGACGGGAGGGGAUGGCGCCGCGGCCCCUCAGGUAGACGGCGGGGUGACGGCCCACCGUGCCGGCAACGGGAAGCCGGGCUGGGGGGACGACCGGCUAGCUUGGGACUGAGGCACGGCCCAGACUCCUACGGGAGGGAGCAGGGGGGGAACAUGCGCAAUGGGAGGAACCCUGGAGGAGCGGCGGCGCGGGCGGGACGGAAGCCUUCGGGUCGGAAAACGCUUUCAGCAGGGGAGGGUCAAGACUGUACCUGCAGAAGAAGCCCCGGCUAACUACGUG